rnacentral:rRNA from 1 species
CAUUAAUGAAUUGUAAAUGGGGGCUGAUGCUGGCAGUUGAUUCUUCAGUUGCAUGUGCUCGCUUCUAACAAUCCUUAUCCAAACACUUGUGCACCUUUGAAAGGAAGGGAAGUUUUCCCUUCUUAUUUAUAUACACUGUCUCUAUAAUGUUGAAUGUGAUCUUGUGCCUUUUAAGGCCUUAAUGUUAAUACAACUUUUAACAACGGAUCUCUUGGCUCUCGCAUCGAUGAAGAACGCAGCGAAAUGCGAUAAGUAAUGUGAAUUGCAGAAUUCAGUGAAUCAUCGAAUCUUUGAACGCACCUUGCGCUCCCCGGUAUUCCAGGGAGCACACCUGUUCGAGUGUUGUGAAAUUCUCAAGCUUAGAUGCCUUUGUCCAAAGUCAUCUUAGUCUUGGUUAUUGGGCUCUGCCGUGUGCCCCCUUUUGUUGAGGGAACGGCUGGCCUUAAAAAUAUUAGCUGAUCCUCGUGUAGCAAUUGGUUCUACUCAGCGUGAUAAUAAUUCUGACCGCUGAGGACAUCUUUCGGGAUGGCCAUUUCUCUCUUGGGUUGCUUCGAACACUGGUUUUACAGAUCUCUGAAUCUGUUCCACUAUCAAGUUUGACCUCGAAUCAGGUGGGACUACCCGCUGAACUUAAGCAUAUCAAUAA